CGGAGGGUGCAAGCGUUAAUCGGAAUUACUGGGCGUAAAGGGUUCGUAGGUGGUUUAUUAAGUUAUUUGUAAAAUCCCUGGGCUUAACCUGGGCAGGUCAGAUAAUACUGGUAGACUCGAGUAUGGGAGAGGGUAGUGGAAUUUCCGGUGUAGCGGUGAAAUGCGUAGAGAUCGGAAGGAACACCAGUGGCGAAGGCGGCUACCUGGCCUAAUACUGACACUGAGGAACGAAAGCGUGGGGGAGCAAACAGGAUUAGAUACCCUGGUAGUCCACGCCGUAAACGAUGUCAACUAGCUGUUGGUCAUAUUGAUAUGAUUAGUGGCGCAGCAAACGCGAUAAGUUGACCGCCUGGGGAGUACGGUCGCAAGAUUA
rnacentral:rRNA from 1 species